CCUUUGCAGCCUUGUGAUGUUGCCCCUUGUAAGGACUAUUGCUUGUGGGUACAACAAGGCUGCAGAAAGCAACUCAAAGAAUGAAAAGGCGUGACUUCUGGAGGCUCAGGAGCUUCACGUGCGAUGUUCCUUGGACAGAUUCCUGCUUUCCACGGUGGUGAUGGUUCCCCUCCUUAGCCAUCACCUUUCUUAAGGCAGGUAGAGUAAAACCUGGCAGCUGGAUAUUGUUUGAAGUGGGAGAAGGUUACUCCUUCAGACACUGUGAGCUGUCACAGUC
rnacentral:snoRNA from 1 species